UGGGCAACCUGCCCCUAGCUCUGGGAUAACUCCGGGAAACCGGGGCUAAUACCGGAUACUCCGGCUGGAUCGCAUGGUCCGGCCGGGAAAGGUCCGCCGGAGAGGGAUGGGCCCGCGGCCUAUCAGCUUGUUGGUGGGGUCAUGGCUCACCAAGGCGACGACGGGUAGCUGGUCUGAGAGGACGACCAGCCACACUGGAACUGAGAUACGGUCCAGACUCCUACGGGAGGCA
rnacentral:rRNA from 1 species